rnacentral:rRNA from 1 species
GCCCAGACUCCUACGGGAGGCAGCAGUGGGGAAUAUUGGGCAAUGGGCGCAAGCCUGACCCAGCAACGCCGCGUGAAGGAAGAAGGCUUUCGGGUUGUAAACUUCUUUUCUCAGGGACGAAGAAAGUGACGGUACCUGAGGAAUAAGCCACGGCUAACUACGUGCCAGCAGCCGCGGUAAUACGUAGGGAGCAAGCGUUAUCCGGAUUUACUGGGUGUAAAGGGCGCGUAGGCGGGAUGGCAAGUCAGAUGUGAAAUCCAAGGGCUCAACCCUUGAACUGCAUUUGAAACUGUCGUUCUUGAGUACUGGAGAGGUAGACGGAAUUCCUAGUGUAGCGGUGAAAUGCGUAGAUAUUAGGAGGAACACCAGUGGCGAAGGCGACUUUCUGGACUGUACCUGACGCUGAGGCGCGAAAGCGUGGGUAGCGAACGGGAUUAGAUACCCUCGUAAA